UACAGAGGCGGCAAGCGUUGUUCGGAAUUAUUGGGCGUAAAGAGCACGUAGGCGGCCUUGUAAGUCAGUUGUGAAAGCCUUCUGCUCAACGGAGGAACAGCAUCUGAUACUGCAAGGCUAGAGUGCGGAAGGGGAGAGGGGAACUUCUGGUGGAGCGGUGAAAUGCGUAGAUAUCAGGAGGAACACCGGCGGCGAAGGCGACUCUCUGGGCCGUAACUGACGCUGAGUGUGCGAAAGCUAGGGGAGCAAACGGG
rnacentral:rRNA from 1 species